rnacentral:rRNA from 1 species
GUGGUGCCGGCGUGCACUGCGCACACGUGUAAACCCCAUAGGCGUAGACAACUCGAACAAAGAUGAAUGUCCUAGGGAUUACGGGUUCGGCAACGGCGCAAGCCUUCGUCGGGCCCCUCCAUCCCGGGGUGUCCCGCCGCCGGGCUCCGGCCCGAGUGGGCAUCCCUCGAGUGUGUAGGAUGUGACCCGAAAGAUGGUGAACUAUGCCUGAUCAGGCCGAAGUCAGGGGAAACCCUGAUGGAGGGCCGAAGCAAUUCUGACGUGCAAAUCGAUUGUCAGAGUUGGGCAUAGGGGCGAAAGACCAAUC